GCCUUCGUGGUGUAACGGUAGCACACUCGUUGCAUAUUCGAAAGGUUUAGGUUCGAGUCCCGGCGAGGGCA
rnacentral:tRNA from 1 species